ACACGCAUGACACACUGCAUAUCAAUAAGCGGAGGAAAAGAAACUAACAAGGAUUCCCCUAGUAACGGCGAGUGAAGCGGGAAGAGCUCAAAUUUGAAAUCUUAAAGGGUUUCCCUUUACGAAUUGUAGUUUAAAGAAGUGUUUUCUGUUGGAGUUACGGUAAAAGUUCUUUGGAAUAGGACAUCAUAGAGGGUGAGAAUCCCGUAUUUGGUCAUUCCUCCUAGCGUUGUGAUACACUUUCAACGAGUCGGAUUGUUUGGGAAUGCAGUCCAAAAUGGGUGGUAAAUUUCAUCUAAAGCUAAAUAUUGGCGAGAGACCGAUAGCGAACAAGUACCGUGAGGGAAAGAUGAAAAGAACUUUGAAAAGAGAGUUAAACUGUACGUGAAAUUGUCAAAAGGGAAGCGUUUGACACCAGUGUUGUUUAGUUGAAAAUCAAUUCAAUAAUUUUUGAUUUUGAGUAGUAUUGACUUCAUCAGCUUGCUGCUUUCUUUUCAGAAAUUAUUGAAUGCACUUUUCAGUUAACAAGUCAACAUCAAUUUCUUUUGUUGUAAAAGGGUAAGAGGAAGGUGGCUUACGCUUCGGCGUGAGUGUUUAUAGCCUUUUACCUCUGCAAUCGGAGAGAUUGAGGACAGCAGCGUAGACUCUUCGGGGUUAGAUACACUUGUGCUAAGCUAUAGCCUUGUAUAGACAACUUGUUGACUAUGCUCAGUCAUGUAGCUUACUCGCUUGUGCUAUUUUACCUACGCUUAGGAUGUUGAUCUACAGAGCGAGAGU
rnacentral:rRNA from 1 species